CGUUCGUCUCUCUGCAGUCGUAGAGCUGUGGUUGCGAGCGCUGGGGGCUUUACCCCGAGGAGCCGAGAGGAACCUGGGCUAUCUUUAGGAAACAAGCACCCGCUCCGUGCCCCCUCUCAGGAAGCAGGGCCCCAUUCCAGCUUUGCCGUACGAGGGGCUCGCAGAUAAGGAGGGGCAGGAAACCUGCCUGGCUUUGCUUCUUUAAGCAAAUAUUUCCCAUAGCCUCAGCACCGUGAGUCAGCACUGCCGGAGCCCAGACUUGUUUGCAGCAGCAGCGAGGCGGUGUGGGAGGUGUGGGGCACGGUGUCCUUUUGCCCAAACGCCAUCGGGGAUGUCAGCAGCUGAAACGGGGCUAACAGGGAGCAAAAGGCCCAAUGGUGCUCAUGGGCUCAUUCUGCACCAACCUCGCCAGUCUGCAAGCCCCAAAAAUACAGGAACAAACCAAACGCUGUGGUUUCUAUUCAAGGCCCAGGAGUGGAAUAAGGAACAUGAGCCGUGGGAUAUCCUAUGUCACUGCAGGCUGAUCUCUGCAGCAGGCAGAGGCUGCUCAGCCUGGAAGGGUCUCAUGGCAAAGGGAGGAAACAUCAGAGACGCCAUGGAUUAUUUUAGAUCUGCAACCUCAGUUCUGCAAAGCUGAAUGAUGCCCGUCCUUUGAGAACACUAACAACGCCUCGCUCCGAAUGCCUGUGAACUCUGUGCUUCAUGCAGAGCCCUGCGUGGUGGCUGCUUAUCAUUUAAUUUGCUAUUUGCCCACCCUUCGUGUUCCAACAACUGGAGAUAAGGUGAGCAGAGGUUCUCACACUGCUGUGCCUCCUGCAAUACCUUCACUGCACACUUUCUGGUUCACUUCCUCCCACUCCUUAAUUUUGCUCCCAAAAAAGGCUCCUUUCAAUUCUUAUUCUCGUAGUCAACCCCGAUUGUUCUGGACCACAUCAUGAACAUAAGAACUCCAAUAAUUACCUGCCAGGUUUGAGUUCUGCCAGGGCCAGGCAUGUUUAGGUUGAAGACCAUGUGUGCAAGCACGACUAUUGCAGCUUCUACAUGCUAGAUGCAUACAUACCCAGUGCAUAUUUCUCUUUACAAAGUCCCUGCUUCAAAAUAAGCAGUGUGCAACGACCAAACCAAUGACCAGCACCCACGUGACUGCUGUGUUGUGUAACGAGAUGCAAAGUCCUUGGGAUUUGUGGAUUGAGCUUUUCCCUUUUAUCUUCCAGAGGUCAAAGUCCACUGCCAGCAGCAGCCUGUGUGCUCUGCUCCUAAAGGAGCUCCAUGGGUUUGUGCUGCUCCCUCUGUGUUCAUCCUAUAAAGCAGCUCAGCCCAGUAUCACCUGCUGCAUGUGACGUGCAGGGCAGGGAGGAUCCCAAGAGCUGGGUUUUGUGGAGUCACCUUUCCCACUGUUUGCACACGCAGUAACUGGGCUGCUUCUCAGUGCUGAGCCUUAAACGGGAGGUGGACACAAGAACUCCUUUCCUUUCCCUGGAUGAAGAGAUGUUUUCCUUUCCACGGAUGAAUUUCCUAAUUUUAGCUUCAGCUCGCCCUGAACAUUCGAUGCAAAUCAAAUGUGGUGUCGUAAAAAGGCCUUCGAGAGGAAAUUCUUCUUAGAAAUUCUUCUUACAGAUCAUUGGAACAAGCUUUAAAGUUCAACUGCAUCUUCACACGCCUUCAAAACUCCCCUCACCUCCACGAGAACUUCCUCCUGAUUUCCAUGGCAGCUGAUUUAUUCCUCGCUGCCCUCAGCUAUGAAUGGCAUUCCCUGCACAGCCCCGCGCUCCAGAGCUUUGGAAAAUCACCUUUGGAGUGACAGAACUGGAAAUGAUGGCUGUGCCCAGCUGUGCGCUCACUGUGGGAACGCUCAGCCACAGGAGUGGAGUUCCAAGGAAAAUUUCCUCUUUCCUUUGCAGGACAGCUUACUGAUGUGCCAAGCUCAGAGCAGCAGGGAGGAGCCUCACUGCAGGCAGAGAGGUUUGCAAGUUUCCCAUAGAACACAUCCCAAACUGCUGCACAAUGCAGUGCUGCUUGCUGUCAGCCUGAUGGGAGAACACAGCGUGCUCCAGCAGUGGGCAAUGUGAGAGCAGGCGGUGAGCUGCACAUCCCAAACACGCAGUGCUGGGACUCACCGUGCCCUCAGUGCAUCUCUGUGCUGCGUCCCUGGCCGUGCAGCUCAGCACGGAGAGCCCUGGGCUGUGAGCUGCUGGAUUUUUAUGUCUGUUUUCAUCUGGUUUUGCCUGCUUUGGGAUGCACACACAACCGGUGCUUCUAAGGAGAGAAACAGUUGCUUCAUCUUCCUGUACAGACAGCCCUCUGCCCUUUGCAUUUAGAUUUCUGGUGUCUCUGUGUGUGGAGAUGAUUUGUCCGUAAUUGUUUGCUUUCUCCAGAGUCCUUUGAAGCGUCUGUCUUCAAACCAGUCCCUUAUAUUAAAAAUAAACGCUUCCAAGCCACCAAUAAAAUGUGAGCUGCGAUUAAAGCCUGGCUCCUUGCUUCGGGAGCCAUCUCCUAA